UACGGAGGAUCCGAGCGUUAUCCGGAUUUAUUGGGCUUAAAGGGUGCGUAGGCGGCCUUGUAAGUCAGGGGUGAAAGACGGUAGCUUAACUAUCGCAGCGCCUUUGAUACUGCAGGGCUUGAAUGUACUUGAGGUAGGCGGAAUGUGACAAGUAGCGGUGAAAUGCAUAGAUAUGUCACAGAACACCAAUUGCGAAGGCAGCUUACUAAAGUAUGAUUGACGCUGAGGCACGAAAGCGUGGGGAUCAAACAGG
rnacentral:rRNA from 1 species